GACGAACGCUGGCGGCGUGCUUAACACAUGCAAGUCGAACGCUGAAGCACCAGCUUGCUGGUGUGGAUGAGUGGCGAACGGGUGAGUAAUACGUGAGUAACCUGCCCUUGACUCUGGGAUAAGCCCGGGAAACUGGGUCUAAUACUGGAUGCUACAUGUCACCGCAUGGUGGUGUGUGGAAAGGGUUUACUGGUCUUGGAUGGGCUCACGGCCUAUCAGCUUGUUGGUGAGGUAAUGGCUCACCAAGGCGACGACGGGUAGCCGGCCUGAGAGGGUGACCGGCCACACUGGGACUGGGACACGGCCCAGACUCCUACGGGAGGCAGCAGUGGGGAAUAUUGCACAAUGGGCGAAAGCCUGAUGCAGCGACGCCGCGUGAGGGAUGACGGCCUUCGGGUUGUAAACCUCUUUCAGCAGGGAAGAAGCCACAAGUGACGGUACCUGCAGAAGAAGCGCCGGCUAACUACGUG
rnacentral:rRNA from 1 species